rnacentral:tRNA from 1 species
GCGUCUGUAGCUCAGAGGAUAGAGCGCCGGACUACGAAUCCGUAGGUCGCAGGUUCGACUCCUGCCAGACGCG